CCCACAUUGCCCUGUAGGGAACAGAGUUGAUUGCUGGAUAACAUUGAGGCUGACCCUGUCAUGGACAGGCAGCUCAUCGGUUGCACUCCAUUUCCUUAAUAAAAUUACAACACACAUGAUGAAUUACAAUCAACAGACGUUUAUCUCUGACAAGAGCUUCUAUAGUUCAACGACUUCAAUGAAGAUUACUGUGAAAGCAGAGCAGGGUUACAAAGUACAAGUUUGUAGUAACCCCAAAAUGAUCUGCAGUAUGCUUACUUUCAUCACCUGUGAAAUAGUAAAACUGCAAUUACUUAGUAUUACUGUGAAGAAAAAAAUAAGAUGAUGGACUGGAACAUUAUUCAUGGGUACCGUGGUAACGUCAGUGGUGGUCUAACACUCAGAGAAGACCUUGGGACAGAUACCAGGGUGUCUACCCCAAGGAAGACGCUUACAUCACAUGUCAUUGACUUAGCUGCGGUGGUAACUAAUGACUUCGAAAUGUCAACGUACAAAGCCAGUAAUUAAAGUAUGUUUACAAA